rnacentral:rRNA from 1 species
GACGAACGCUGGCGGCGUGCUUAACACAUGCAAGUCGAACGGAAAGGCCCUGCUUUUGUGGGGUGCUCGAGUGGCGAACGGGUGAGUAACACGUGAGUAACCUGCCCUUGACUUUGGGAUAACUUCAGGAAACUGGGGCUAAUACCGGAUAGGAGCUCCUGCUGCAUGGUGGGGGUUGGAAAGUUUCGGCGGUUGGGGAUGGACUCGCGGCUUAUCAGCUUGUUGGUGGGGUAGUGGCUUACCAAGGCUUUGACGGGUAGCCGGCCUGAGAGGGUGACCGGCCACUUGGGACUGAGAUACGGCCCAGACUCCUACGGGAGGCAGCAGUGGGGAAUAUUGCACAAUGGGCGGAAGCCUGAUGCAGCAACGCCGCGUGCGGGAUGACGGCCUUCGGGUUGUAAACCGCUUUCGCCUGUGACGAAGCGUGAGUGACGGUAAUGGGUAAAGAAGCACCGGCUAACUACGUG